rnacentral:rRNA from 1 species
UACAGAGGCCUCAAGCGUUGUUCGGAUUUAUUGGGCGUAAAGAGCGUGUAGGCGGCCAGGUAGGUCUGCUGUGAAAACUCGAGGCUCAACCUCGAGACGUCGGCGGAAACCAUCUGGCUAGAGUCCGGAAGAGGAGAGUGGAAUUCCUGGUGUAGCGGUGAAAUGCGCAGAUAUCAGGAAGAACACCCGUGGCGAAGGCGGCCGACUGGGCCGACCCUGACGCUGGAGGCGCGAAGGCGUGGGGAGCGAACGGG